GAAGAAAAAAAAAGCAAAACCUAGGGUUGUCCACCCAGACCGAUCCACCCCUCCCCUCGUCCCACCCAGACCGAUCCCUCCUCGCCUCGUCUCCCACAUCACCGGGACCACUCACCCAUCGCCUCCUCCCCUGCCCCGCCGUGCGGCGCCGCGAGGAGCGAAGCCGCCGUCCCCGCUGAUGCCCAUGGAUCUGAGCUCUAGCCCCCGCUCGACCUCGCUGCUGCGUCCUCUAUCGGGGCUCGACCUCCCGCCCUGCCUCCCCAACCAGCUCGCCUGCCUUCCCACACGCAUCACCAUGAUCCGGAGCCACGUGCAGAUCAUGCAGGAGGUGGAGGCCAUGGGGGGAAAUGUCGGCGCCUCCGCCUCGAGGGACUCCUGCUCCGUCAUCUCUCCAUAGAUCCCACCUCCCGAGCGAGCGAAGCAUCCCCAUGGCAAGCGGCGGCGGGAAGGUGGCGUGCGCGGCGUGGAUCCGGCGCCGGGAGGACAAGGGCACCCGAGUCUUCGUGGUGCACGGUCGGCCCUCCCCGCCACUCCUGGAGGCCCUCGGCUUUGACUCCGGGACCUGCUCGCUCUCCCAGGAGCCCCUGGUCCAUCCAUCAUCGUCGUCGUCCGCCGGAGAUGCUCGGUCGACUGGCCACACGGAGGCCCCGCCCAGGAAGCACUCGCGCCAUCGCAGCCUACCGCUCCUCAGCGGCAGCCUCCUCCUCGGUCCUGCCCGACGCGCUCGAUCGGAGCUCCGACGCCUACGCGCGCAACAUCGCCGCCGUCGGCGGCCUCCUCUCCGACCUGUGCUCCCGCGUCUCCCAGGUUCGUGCGCGCCGCCGGUCUCUCUCUACCUUCCUUGACCCGACCCCUUCCUCUCCUUGACGACAUGGAAGGCGCUGUAGGUGCUGGGUGGAGGAGGCGCGGGGGCGGUGAAGCGGAACGAAGGACGGGGGAAGCUGCUCCCCAGGGACUGUAUCGACCGCCUGCUCGGACCCAGGGCCUUCUUCCUCGAGCUCUCUCAGGUCACUCAUCGUUGUCGGUCAGAGUGUCCCCUUCUCUGACCAGUUCUAUCAAGCGACUAGUUUGCACCAGUAUUCAGAUUGAGAUUAUUGAACAAAACUAUUAUUGCUUUGUUCCAUGUCCUGUUCAUGACAGCAAUUUUGUGGGAUUGCAGAAAGCAUUGUAACAAUGAUAUGUUCUCUAAUUACUAUGUUACAUAGUUUUGCUAAGAAAAACACACUAGUAUAAUGAGCUAACCAUCCUUAAUUUGCUUGAGAUGACCAGUACUUCCUUGAGAAAGACUCCUUUCUUGUAUGAAUGAGUAUCUUGUUUUAACUAGCUGAUAACAAAAGCAUUGUACUAUCUGAAUUUUUGUUAUCAUUCUAAAGAACUUGUCUUUUUUAAUGGUCUCUUCAUAAUAUAAUGGCUCCAGUUUUCUGAUUCUUCUCUGCUGAUUCAUGUAACGAAGGGAGUAUAUCUUAGUCUUCGCUGUUAUGAGAAUGUUAUAUGCAUGGUUUCCUGUUAAAUCUAAAGUUCUCCAACAAAUUUUCAUCGUUAUGAGAUUUUUAUAUUCACAGAUUCAAUUGAUUAUGUUUCUAACUUAUUAUUAUUUAUUAUUUGCAGAUUCUAGCCUUCAUUCUUUAAAAUUUGGGUGUACAUGAGCUCUAGGAAGAAGAAUCCCGAAGAAAACCCACUCGCACCAAUCCAUUUUAGCUCACAUGAGCUAGUUAUGUGUAUAUUUAGUUGUAUUUUAUAGCUGAGUACCAUAUUUGUACUAUGUGUGAUUUUAGUGUACUUUGCGUGUUGUUGUAUGAAAUAUUAUGCCUUAUUGUCUUUUUUUGAAUCAAA
rnacentral:lncRNA from 1 species